rnacentral:rRNA from 1 species
AACCUAAAGAAUUUGGCGGUAUCUUAAAUAAUUGGAGGAACCUGUUAUUUAAUUGACACUCCACAACAAAUCUAACCUAAAUUCAAUUUGUAUAUCGUUGUUUCGGAUAAUAUUUAAAAAUAAUUAUCGAAUUUUAUUAAUUUUCAAAAAUCAAAUCAAGGUGCAGUAUAUUUAGGGUAUAAUGGGUUACAAUUUAACUAUAAAAACAGAUAAAAAUGAAAAUGAUAAUGAAGGUGGAUUCAAAAGUAAUAUUAAAAAUAAAAUGUUUAUUUGAAUGAGAAUUUAAGAUAUGCACACAU